CUGCUUGCUGGCUUCUCCUGGAUCCAGAGAGAAAAUCCUCCCUUCAAUUAUGAUAUUGAAAAUAUCCCACAAGUGAAGGAAUGACCCAUAAAUUGAGUCAUGAAGGUCAUAUUCUAUGAAGUGCAGCUAUUUUCCAUAUUUCUGCAAAGGGUACGGAAUCAGACUUUGACAACAAUAGCAAUGACAGCUCCAGGCUGUGUCUACUGACUUCUUCUCUUUUCCUCAAAAGGACAGUUACCACCAUCUAUAAUAUCAUAUAAGAGUUUCUCAAACAAGGAGUUUGUUCCUGCUAAAAACUCUCUCCAGUUAAAGACAAAAGGAA